GUCCUGGCUGUAAACGGUGCACGUUUGCUGUAAAAGGAAUCGACCCCUUUUGUGGCGAAGCUAACGCGAUAAACGUGCCGCCUGGGAAGUACGGUCGCAAGAUUAAAACUCAAAGAAAUUGACGGGGGCCUGCACAAGCGGUGGAGUAUGUGGCUUAAUUCGAUGCAACGCGAAGAACCUUACCUGGCCUUGACAUGCAAGUGGUAGGACCAUGAAAGUGGGACGACCCCGCAAGGGGAGCUUGCACAGGUGCUGCAUGGCUGUCGU
rnacentral:rRNA from 1 species